UUUUUUUUUUUGUCUCAGUAAUUCAAGAGACCCUCAAAUUUUUUAUGUAACCGUUUAGAUUGCAGCCUAAUUGUUCAAAAGCUUACUCAAAUUUGAUCUAAACAUUCGUGAUUAAUCGUUUAUGAAACCAUACGCUAACGAUUAAUUAGGAAUUGAUACAGGUUCAUAACACCGUUCAUGGAUUGGAAACAUCUACCAUUUAUUUUUAGUUUUAGUUAACUAAAAUUGUAAGUGCACUGCAUUUUUUUCGAAGCUUCAUUUCUUUCAUCGUUCAAAAAGCUGCUUUGGCAAUAAAAAAAAGUUUAAGGUUAUUUUUAGCCGAGGCUACUGGGAUUGUUUCAUAUGCUUACAAGCGAAAUAGGGAAUAACUAGCUGCAUACAAAUGUUUUUGAAGAAUACCUACCAUUGGGGCUGAGCUAGAAGAAAUAUGGGAUUUGAGACAAAAAGAUUACUACUAUAUUAAGGAAGAACUGCUGAAACUUAGACGGAAUAACCCAAGUAUGCAUACAUGCUGCCAAGCCCGGUCUUGUUGCAAUUUCAGGCUCUACACAACAGUAACAAGUGAUUUAUGGAUUACGGAUACUUUUUUUAAAUUUAAUAUUAUCUGGUUAUAGUUAAAAUAGAAGAUUGUUUCACUAUCCACUAGUUUUGGAUUACAUGCCAUUAGUGAUCAGGGCUAUAAGCGAAUAAUUUUCAACGUUUCAUCUGACCCUGGUACAAUUUUUUCAGUAAGUCACAUAUUUAUUUAUUUUUAUCCAAAAUAAGAGCUAGAUGCGUAUUUUUUAC